rnacentral:rRNA from 1 species
CUUGGCGACCAUAGCAUUAUGGACCCACCUGAACCCAUGCCGAACUCAGUAGUGAAACGUAACAGCGCCGAUGGUAGUGUGGG